AAGAGAAUAAUUAAUAAAAUAAAAUAUAAUAAAAUUAAUUUUAAUUUAUAUAAAUAUUUUAAUGGGGGUUAAAGUAUUAUAAAAAGAAAAAAUUAAUAAUUUUAUAGUUAAAUAGUAUUGUGAAAGAAUUUUGAAAUAAGUUUAAAAUAAAUUUUUUAAAAAGUAAAUUUUAUUUAUUGUAUCUUGUGUAUCAGAGUUUAUCAAAAAUUUUUAAUUUACAUUAAUUUCUCGAAAUUAAAAGAACUAAAUAAUUAUAAAAGUUAUUGUAGAAAAAAUAUUUUAAAUAAUUAUUUAGAAAUGAAAUGUUAAUCGUUUUUAAUGAUAUCUAGUUUUUUUAGAAAAAAAUUUAAUUUUAAAUUUAUUUUUAUAAUAAAUUAAUUAAUUAAUUUAUUAUAUUUUAAAUUUUAUAUUUUAAGGGAUAAGCUUUAAAUUAAAAAUUUAUAAUAAUUUUAAAAAUUUUAAGAAUUUUAUAAUUUAUAUUGUUAAUAAAUUUUAUUUUAUUAUAAAUAAUCUUAAAUAAAUAAAAAUUUAAUUUAAUAUUUAAUUUUUUAUAAAAAAAUAUUUUUUAAUUACAAAAAAAUUAGUAAUAAUGAUAAAAUUAGUAUAUUAUUAAAAAAUAAAUUUUAAAUUUAAAUUUAUUAAUAAAAUUAAUUAAAAUUAAUUCGGCAAAUAUUAUAUUCACUUGUUUAACAAAAACAUGUCUUUUUGAAUUUAAUUUAAAGUCUAAUCUGCCCACUGAUAUUUAUAUUAAAGGGCUGCAGUAUUUUGACUGUACAAAGGUAGCAUAAUCAUUAGUCUCUUAAUUGGUGACUUGUAUGAAAGAUUGAAUGAGAUAUAUACUGUCUCUUAAUUAAUUUAUAGAAUUUAAUUUUUUAUUUAAAAAGUUAAAAUAAAUUAAAAAGACGAGAAGACCCUAUAGAGUUUUAUUAUUAGUUUUAUUAUUUAAUUAUUUUUAUAUUUAAGAUUUUUAUAAAUUUAAUAAUUUUAUUGGGGUGAUGAAAAAAUAUAUUUAACUUUUUUUAAUGUUUAUACAUAAAUAAGUGAUUAAAUGAUCCAGUUUUAUUGAUUAUAAGAAGAAAUUACCUUAGGGAUAACAGCGUAAUUUUUUUUUUUAGUUCAAAUAAGAAAGAAAGUUUGCGACCUCGAUGUUGGAUUAAGAUAAAAUUUAAAUGUAAAAGUUUAAAAUUUUUGAUCUGUUCGAUCAUUAAAAUCUUACAUGAUCUGAGUUCAAACCGGUGUAAGCCAGGUUGGUUUCUAUCUUUUAAAGUGUUUAAAUAUUUUAGUACGAAAGGAUCAAAUAUUUUAAUUAAAUUAUAAUUAUUUUGAAUUUUAUUAAAAUAAGUAAAAAAUUAAUUUAUAUGAUUUAUAUAUUAUA
rnacentral:rRNA from 1 species